AAUGAACGCUGGCGGCAGGCCUAACACAUGCAAGUCGAGCGAGCAUUUCGGUGCUAGCGGCGGACGGGUGAGUAACGCGUGGGAACGUGCCCUUUUCUGCGGAAUAGUCCUGGGAAACUGGGGGUAAUACCGCAUACGCCCUUUUGGGGAAAGAUUUAUCGGAGAAGGAUCGGCCCGCGUUGGAUUAGGUAGUUGGUGGGGUAAUGGCCCACCAAGCCGACGAUCCAUAGCUGGUUUGAGAGGAUGAUCAGCCACACUGGGACUGAGACACGGCCCAGACUCCUACGGGAGGCAGCAGUGGGGAAUCUUAGACAAUGGGAGCAACCCUGAUCUAGCCAUGCCGCGUGAGUGAUGAAGGCCUUAGGGUUGUAAAGCUCUUUCAGCUGGGAAGAUAAUGACGGUACCAGCAGAAGAAGCCCCGGCUAACUCCGUG
rnacentral:rRNA from 1 species